rnacentral:rRNA from 1 species
AUUGAACGCUGGCGGCAGGCCUAACACAUGCAAGUCGAGCGAGCGGCGGACGGGUGAGUAAUGUAUGGGGACUGCCCGAUAGAGGGGGAUAACGACUGGAAACGGUGGCUAAUAACGCAGACUAUAGGAUAACCCAUAUGGGAGUAGCUCGUGGGUGGGGUAAAGGCUCACCUAGGUGACGAUCUCUAGCUGGUCUGAGAGGAUGAUCAGCCACACGUGUACUGAGACACGGCCCAGACUCCUACGGAGGCAGCAGUGGGGAAUAUUGGACAAUGGGCGCAAGCCUGAUGCAGCCAUGACGCGUGUAUGAAGAAGGCCUUAGGGUUGUAAAGUACUUUCAGCGGGGAGGCGUUACCCGCAUCCGAAGCACCGGCUAACUCCGUGCCAGCAGCCGCGGUAAUUC